rnacentral:rRNA from 1 species
GACGAACGCUGGCGGCGUGCUUAACACAUGCAAGUCGAACGGAAAGGCCCUGCUUUUGUGGGGUGCUCGAGUGGCGAACGGGUGAGUAACACGUGAGUAACCUGCCCUUGACUUUGGGAUAACUUCAGGAAACUGGGGCUAAUACCGGAUAGGAGCUCCUGCUGCAUGGUGGGGGUUGGAAAGUUUCGGCGGUUGGGGAUGGACUCGCGGCUUAUCAGCUUGUUGGUGGGGUAGUGGCUUACCAAGGCUUUGACGGGUAGCCGGCCUGAGAGGGUGACCGGCCACAUUGGGACUGAGGUACGGCCCCGACUCCUACGGGGGGCAGCAGUGGGGAAUAUUGCACAAUGGGCGGAAGCCUGAUGCAGCAACGCCGCGUGCGGGAUGACGGCCUUCGGGUUGUAAACCGCUUUCGCCUGUGACGAAGCGUGAGUGACGGUAAUGGGUAAAGAAGCACCGGCUAACUACGUG